CACGUAGGGCGCAAGCGUUGUCCGGAAUUAUUGGGCGUAAAGGGCGCGUAGGCGGCCACCGCAAGUCGGUUGUGAAAUCUCUGGGCUUAACCCAGAAAGGUCAACCGAUACUGCGGGGCUAGAGUGCAGAAGGGGCAACUGGAAUUCUCGGUGUAGCGGUGAAAUGCGUAGAUAUCGAGAGGAACACCUGCGGCGAAGGCGGGUUGCUGGGCUGACACUGACGCUGAAGCGCGAAAGCUAGGGGAGCGAACGGG
rnacentral:rRNA from 1 species